rnacentral:rRNA from 1 species
UACGGAGGGUGCAAGCGUUAUCCGGAUUUACUGGGCUUAAAGGGUGUGUAGGCGGGCUUUUAAGUCAGUGGUGAAAUCUCCGGGCUCAACCCGGAAACUGCCAUUGAUACUAUUAGUCUUGAAUUUUGUUGAGGUAGGCGGAAUAAGUCAUGUAGCGGUGAAAUGCUUAGAUAUGACUUAGAACACCAAUCGCGAAGGCAGCUUGCUAAACAAACAUUGACGCUGAGGCACGAAAGCGUGGGGAUCAAACAGG